rnacentral:rRNA from 1 species
CACAAGCGGUGGAUGAUGUGGUUUAAUUCGAUGCAACGCGAAAACCUUACCCACCUUUGACAUGUACGGAAGCCUUUAGAGAUAGAGGCGUGCUCGAAAGAGAGCCGUAACACAGGUGCUGCAUGGCUGUCGUCAGCUCGUGUCGUGAGAUGUUGGGUUAAGUCCCGCAACGAGCGCAACCCUUGUCAUUAGUUGCUACAUUCAGUUGGGCACUCUAAUGAGACUGCCGGUGACAAGCCGGAGGAAGGUGGGGAUGACGUCAAGUCCUCAUGGCCCUUAUAGGUGGGGCUACACACGUCAUACAAUGGCUGGUACAAAGAGUUGCCAACCCGCGAGGGGGAGCUAAUCCCAUAAAGCCAGUCGUAGUCCGGAUCGUAGUCUGCAACUCGACUACGUGAAGUCGGAAUCGCUAGUAAUCGUGGAUCAGAAUGUCACGGUGAAUACGUUCCCGGGUCUU